GCAGGGAGGGAUUCAUGCAGCUGCAGAGCAUCAAUCUGCCAUCACUGUUCCAUAUCGAUCCAAAGAUAUUUGUGAUAUAUUUUUGUUCCGAAUGAAGGCCUCAGCUGGAACGUGUUGGUGCAUGGAGUUGAGUCAAGACCCAUGUUGAUGGUGAAGAGAGACUUUGAAGACGCGGUCAAUUAUUUUGGUUAGAACUUUGAAGUUGUUCAUGUAAUUGGGUGCUUUCUUUUUGGAUACCGAAAUAUUGACAAAGUUAAAAC